CUAGGGAAGGGGGGGGGGUUGAGCUUUUCAUAACGCAGGAGGAGAGGGGGGAAAAAACCCGAAUAAAAAAUGCAGGAGGAGGAGGCAGACAAAAUCUCAGGCAGUCAGUAGGGAGGCGAGACACAGGAUCGUUUAACGUUAUUUUUGCAUCUGCUCGAGCAAGUUUCUCCUUUAAAAAGAUCCCGGGAUCCUGCUACCUUGGACUCUUUUUAAAAAAAAAAAUGAUCCGUCUUUUUUGGGUGUAUAUAUAUAUUCUAUCCACCGCUUUUUGGCUCUCAUGAUCGUACAAGGGAUUUACUUUUGACGAAAGAAGCUUUUUUUUUUCCCCAUGCAGAUCUAUUUUUUAAUGAUGUUUUUGGCAUUGCUUUUUUAAUGUGAGGAAUAUCCUUGCUUUUGAAAAGAAAUAUACUCAGAGGAUUAUGUUUUCGUUUGGUCCUUUUGUUUUUAUCCUUCCCUUUCCAGGACUCUUAAGUGAUCAUUUUGAGGUAAAAGGAGCCACUGUUUCUGGUGGCUACUUUCCACACAACAGAGAGGAAGGGGUGCUCAGUCGUGUGUGUGUCUGAGUGAUGAGAAAACCCACGGAACACUCUGCCUGAUCCCAGAAGACUUGCCCUGGGACUGCUGUGUUCAUUACAAAACAAUCCUGCAAUUAAAAUAAACUCCAAGAGCUAAACAAACUGCCCCUGAUGCUGAUCAUUUGUUAAUUUCAGCUCCUUAUGCCUAAAACAAUUCCACCCCCCCCCCCAGCACUGGUAUCAAAGGAGGCAGCAGCUGGAGUUGUGGAAGGAAGAGGGGGGAAACACCCUAAUGUUUGUAAACUACAGGAGGAGGGGACUGGGGGGAUAUUAUUAUGUUAAAUAGUGUUUUUAUUGGAGUAUUCAUGAUCUGGCAGGAUCCUUCCUUCUGGGGAAAGGACUGGAAGUGGAAAAACUUGAUUUGCAUGGUAGGGCCUGGCUUUUUGUACACACCCUCUGUACACCAGACCAUACUAAACCAGCUCUGAAGGCUGCUGCAGCUCACUCACAGUCCAAGAAUGUGCAUGGGGACUACACUGGUACUUUUCCAUUCACAUGCCCACAGUGGAGUGUCUUGUUUAUUUCAUCCUUCAUGCGGAAACCUUUUGACUUAGAUACCAAUCAUCAUCACACUCUUCCAUGCAGUCAACAAAGGGACACACGCUGCAGAAGGGGAGGGAGAGAGAUUUUCAGCCUAUCUGCCUAAAAACCUCCCUGUACUUUCAACUGGAGAAGUUAUUAUUCACUCAUCCACCUUAAAAGAAACCACACAACAGUUGUGUUACUGGUUUCACACGUUAUCACACACACACUCUCUCUCUCUCUUUCUAAAUACAACCUCAAUUUUCAGAUAUCCCGGAGACUAAAUCUAGAUUACCAAGGGUUUGGAUAAUCAAAGCAAUUGUCAAUGUAAUUACAAGACAGUGAGGACACAUGGCCCAGUGUCACACAACAGGACAGUUCAGAUAAUGAGGCUUGGAGAACCAGAUAAUCAUAUUUUAUCAGUAAAAUUGGCAUUCACAUCUUAUUGAGAAAGUGUCCUGAUAAUUGACAGAUCUACUUUCUCAUCAUUACUGUGAGAGUCAUAGUGAAACUUGUCUGUCAGAAAUUACUUUUCCCAGGUAAGUGUAAGAGUAGACUGUUUGCAGGUUUUCUAUCUAUCUAUCUAUCUAUCUAUCUAUCUAUCUAUCUAUCCCUGCAAAUACUUAUAACCAGGAACAGUAAUUACACAGUAUGUAUGUAAGGGUAUUUAUUGUUCCCAUCACCAUGUAAGUAAGCAUCACAAUUCUAUGCCACACGUACCUGAUAUUUGGUUUAAAAGGUAAAUUUCAAACCCAAGUACUAGUGAGCAUCCAGCCAAUCACAGAAAAUUAUCCAUCCUCCUCUCUGCCCCCAAUCAAUUUUUAACCAAUUACAGACCAAAGUCUGUGGGGCUUGGUUUGUUGUUUUCCUUUUCUGCUGAGUUUGUUGGUGAUCAAGUAGAGCAAAAUUAAGUGAUUCACGUGUAGUGAGGGACAUUUACAAAGACCUUGUACCACUGAUCUAUAACAUUUUCAAAUACAAACAUACAUUCCGUACUCCCUUGCCCAUGCCUUACCCCUGUUUUUGUUCCUGCUGCUUCUUGUUAGAAUUUGCCUCAUUUGAAAAUAUUAAGCAUGAGACUUCUGGAAAUGUAAAACUCACCAUGUAUUUUAAGCUGUGCAGAAAUGCCUUUUUUUAGUACCUCUCUUAACAAUCAACUAAUGAGAUUAAAAACAAAGCAAACAGACAAAAUCCCUGAGAUGAUUCAAGCCUCCCGUUACAUAAGUGUUUGGUUUGACUGAAAAAAUUGAUCAAGGGCAGUCUUUGAAUCAGAUUCUUACUCAUUUUCACUCUCUAUUUCUAUUACUGUGGUGCCUAGAAGGCCCAGUCAAAUCCAGGGUAAUAAAAGUCAGCCGGGGAAAACAUUUUGAUUUCAUAAGAAGAACUUUGUGAGCUAGGAAGCUUAUCUAACGAUAUUUUGUAUAGUGACAAAGGGCCUGAUCCAAAAAUGGAAAGCCUCCCACUGACUUCAAUGGAUUUGCAUACGACCCUUAAUUCUUACUCUAAACCAAUACUAUUUUGAUAGUUAUUGUUUUAUGAAUUGUUUUGUUAGACAUCUAGGUGGUUAAUGUUAUCUGCAUUUCAUUUUCUUUCUUCAAAUAAAAAAUUAAUGCUUUGUCUA